AAUUACCUUACGCAUAGGUAUAUAUCGCAAAAUGUAAAUGCAAGCAUAUUGCAAAAGGUUUGUCCCUGGUGAGCACCACCAAUUACACCUCUAAUAGAACUAAAAAAUAUCACACCUCUAAUGGGUUGAAAUUCACGUCCUCCAAACAAAUAUAUUUAGACAACUGAUUAUUAGCCUUUUAAUCAAAGCUUUUAACCACCACCACCACCAAAAAACAGCCAUUGUAGUAGCUCGGUACAAACCAUUUCGACACACUAGCUAGAAUCACUUCGCCUGAAAAAUCUACCAGUAACAUCGAUUGCCUUACGCAUAGGUAUAUAUCGCACAAUGUAAAUGCAAGCAUAUUGCAAAAGGAUUGUCCCUGAUUCGCAACACCAAUUACACCUCUAAUAGAACUCAAAAAAAAUUUCACACCUCUAAUGGGUUGAAAUUCACAUCUUCCAAACAAAUAUAUUUACACAGCAUUGUAGUAGCUCCGUACAAACCAUUUCUGACACCCUACCUAGAAUCACUUCGCCUGAAAAAUCUAUCAGCGACAUCGAUUGUCUUAUACAUACCAUUAUACAUCGCAAAAUGUAAAUGCAAGUAUGCGAGCAACCUGCUUUUCUAA
rnacentral:lncRNA from 1 species